AGUGAACGCUGGCUGUAGGCCUAACACAUGCCAGUCGAACGGCAGCACCGUCAGAGCUUGCCUUUACGUGUGGCUCGUGGCGGACGGGUGAGGAUUACAUCUGUCUCUCCUUUUUCGUAGUGGAUAACGAAGUUACACUUACGCUAAUACCGCAUACGACCUUCGGAUGAAAGCAUCCGAUCUUCGUACAUUACUCGAUUGAAUUGGCCGAUGUCGCAUUUGCUAGUCGUCGGGGCAAAGUCCCACCAAGGCGACGCUCCGUAGAGGGUCUGAGAGGAUGAUCAGCCACACUGGAACUGAGACAAGGUCCAGACUACUACGGGAGGGAGCAGUGGGGAAUAUUAGACAAUGGGAGGAAGCAUGAUCCAGCCAUACCGCGUGGGUGAAGAAGGCAUUCGGGUUGUAAAGCCCUUUUGUUGGGAAAGAAAAGCAGAAGGUUAAUACCCCGCUGUUCUGACGGUACCCAAAGAAUAAGCACCGGCUAACUUCGUG
rnacentral:rRNA from 1 species